rnacentral:rRNA from 1 species
AAACUUUGCAAUAAGCGAAAGCUUGACAGGGCUAUCCCGAGUGCCAUCCGCUGAGGAAGGCUUUUACCCAGUCUAGAACGCUGGGGGAAUAAGGAGAGGGCAAGUCUGGUGUCAGCCGCCGCGGUAAUACCAGCUCUCCGAGUGGUGUGGAUGUUUAUUGGGCCUAAAGCAUCCGUAGCUGGCUAGGUCGGUCCCUUGUUAAAUCCACCGAAUUAAUCGUUGGAUUGCGGGGGAUACUGCUUGGCUAGGGGACGAGAGAGGCAGACGGUAUUUUCGGGGUAGGGGUGAAAUCCUAUAAUCCCGGGAAGACCACCAGUGGCGAAGGCUGUCUGCUAGAACGCGCCCGACGGUGAGGGAUGAAAGCUGGGGGAGCGAACCGGAUUAGAUACCCGGGUAGUCCCAGCUGUAAACGAUGCAGACUAGGUGUUUGGACGGCCACGUGCCGUUCUAGUGCCGCAGGGAAGCUGUUAAGUCUGCCGCCUGGGGAGUACGAUCGCAAGAUUGAAACUUAA